rnacentral:rRNA from 1 species
CCUACGGGUGGCAGCAGUGAGGAAUCUUGGGCAAUGGACGCAAGCCUGACCCAGCAACGCCGCGUGAAGGAAGAAGGCUUUCGGGUUGUAAACUUCUUUUAUGAGGGACGAACCAAAUGACGAUUACCUAUGAGUACGCCACGGCUAACUACCUGCAAGCAGCCGCGGUAAUACGUAGGUGGAAAGCGUUAUACGGAUUUACUGGGUGUAAAGGGCGUGUAGGCGGGACUGCAAGUCAGAUGUGAAAAUUAUGGGCUCAACCCAUAAGCUGCAUUUGUAACUGUAGUUCUUGAGUGAUGGAGAGGCAGGCGGAAUUCCGUGUGUAGCGGUGAAAUGCGUAGAUAUACGGAGGAACACCAGUGGCGAAGGCGGCCUGCUGGACAUUAACUGACGCUGAGGCGCGAAAGCGUGGGGAGCAAACAGGAUUAGAUACCCUAGUAGUC